UGGCCCUAGGAGGCCCCUAC
rnacentral:misc_RNA from 1 species